UACGUAGGCAGCAAGCGUUGUUCGGAGUUACUGGGCGUAAAGGGUGCGUAGGCGGCUUCUUAAGUCUGGUGUGAAAUCUCCCGGCUCAACUGGGAGGGUGCGCCGGAUACUGAGGGGCUAGAGUGUGGGAGAGGAAAGUGGAAUUCCUGGUGUAGCGGUGAAAUGCGUAGAUAUCAGGAGGAACACCGGUGGUGUAAACGGCUUUCUGGACCAUUACUGACGCUGAGGAGCGAAAGCGUGGGGAGCGAACAGG
rnacentral:rRNA from 1 species